AGAUUGAACGCUGGCGGCGUGCUUAACACAUGCAAGUCGAGCGGUAACGCGGGAGCAAUCCUGGCGACGAGCGGCGAACGGGUGAGUAAUGCUUGGGAAUCUGCCCAUUAGUGGGGAACAACCAGCCGAAAGGUUGGCUAAUACCGCAUACGCCCUACGGGGGAAAGCGGGGGAUCGAAAGACCUCGCGCUAAUGGAUGAGCCCAAGUCGGAUUAGCUUGUUGGUAGGGUAACGGCCUACCAAGGCGACAAUCCGUAGCUGGUCUGAGAGGACGACCAGCCACACUGGGACUGAGACACGGCCCAGACUCCUACGGGAGGCAGCAGUGGGGAAUAUUGGACAAUGGGGGCAACCCUGAUCCAGCGACGCCGCGUGUGUGAAGAAGGCCUGCGGGUUGUAAAGCACUUUUAGUGGGAUGAAAAGCUCAGGGUUAACACCUCUGGGUCUUGACCUAACCACAGAAAAGCACCGGCUAACUCUGCGCCAGCAGCCGCGGU
rnacentral:rRNA from 1 species